GAUGAACGCUAGCUACAGGCUUAACACAUGCAAGUCGAGGGGAAACGAUAGAGAAAGCUUGCUUUUUCUAGGCGUCGACCGGCGCACGGGUGAGUAACGCGUAUCCAACCUGCCCACCACUUGGGGAUAACCUUGCGAAAGUAAGACUAAUACCCAAUGACGUCUCUAGAAGACAUCUGAAAGAGAUUAAAGAUUUAUCGGUGAUGGAUGGGGAUGCGUCUGAUUAGCUUGUUGGCGGGGUAACGGCCCACCAAGGCGACGAUCAGUAGGGGUUCUGAGAGGAAGGUCCCCCACAUUGGAACUGAGACACGGUCCAAACUCCUACGGGAGGCAGCAGUGAGGAAUAUUGGUCAAUGGACGAGAGUCUGAACCAGCCAAGUAGCGUGCAGGAUGACGGCCCUAUGGGUUGUAAACUGCUUUUAUAAGGGAAUAAAGUGAGUCUCGUGAGACUUUUUGCAUGUACCUUAUGAAUAAGGACCGGCUAAUUCCGUGCCAGCAGCCGACGG
rnacentral:rRNA from 1 species